rnacentral:tRNA from 1 species
UGAAUAUGAAGCGAUAGAUUGCAAUUAGUUUCGACCUAAUCUUAGGUAUAAUUUACCCUUAUUCUUUAUUUAA